UACAGAGGUCUCAAGCGUUGUUCGGAUUCAUUGGGCGUAAAGGGUGCGUAGGCGGCGCGGUAAGUCGGGUGUGAAAUCUCGGGCUUAACUCCGAAACUGCAUUCGAUACUGCCGUGCUUGAGGACUGGAGAGGAGACGUGGAAUUUACGGUGUAGCGGUGAAAUGCGUAGAUAUCGUAAGGAAGACCAGUGGCGAAGGCGGGUCUCUGGACAGUUCCUGACGCUGAGG
rnacentral:rRNA from 1 species